GAUGAACGCUGGCGGCGUGUCUAAUACAUGCAAGUCGAGCGAACGGACGAGAAGCUUGCUUCUCUGAUGUUAGCGGCGGACGGGUGAGUAACACGUGGAUAACCUACCUAUAAGACUGGGAUAACUUCGGGAAACCGUAGCUAAUACCGGAUAAUAUUUUGAACCGCAUGGUUCAAAAGUGAAAGACGGUCUUGCUGUCACUUAUAGAUGGAUCCGCGCUGCAUUAGCUAGUUGGUAAGGUAACGGCUUACCAAGGCAACGAUGCGUAGCCGACCUGAGAGGGGGGUCGGCCGCACGGGAACGUGGACACGGUCCAUGCUCCUACGGGAGGCACCAGUAGGGAAUCGUCCGCAAUGGGCGAAAGCCUGACGGAGCAACGCCGCGUGAGUGAUGAAGGUCUUCGGAGCGUAAAACUCGGUUAUUAGGGAAGAACAGAUGUGUAAUGAACUGUGCACAUCUUGACGGUACCGAAUCAGAAAGCCACGGCUAACUACGUG
rnacentral:rRNA from 1 species